AGAAGAAAAAUAACAUUUAAUAUUGGCUGAAUGAGGCAACUACCAGAGAUACAUAGAAGUGUUGGACCUGCCAUGCACAAAGCUUGAACUGAAGUCUUACUUCUAGUAAGAGUCUUUGAGAGGAGAAAAUUAUUCUUCUGUAUCUCCAUUGCUGUCUAUAGCAUUGGCUUAGAGCACUCUGGACAUUUGAACAUCUGGUGGACCUGGAGAUUGCUAGCAUAGAAGGUAAUUUGCAAACUGUUUCUUCUAAAUUAGCCAGAUCUUGAUGUGUUUUGGGACAGCCAGAAGAUUUUCUGCACUAGUUCAGUAUGAAUAGUUUUUAUUGUAAACCAUGCGUAGAUUAACUCAGCAAAUCUUAUUGAAUAGUAUAUAAA
rnacentral:lncRNA from 1 species